rnacentral:pre_miRNA from 1 species
GAGGGGGAAGACGGGAGAAGAGAAGAGAGUGGUUUCAUGCUGCUCCUCACUCCUCCCCUCCCGUCUUGUUCUCUC